rnacentral:rRNA from 1 species
UACGUAGGGUGCAAGCGUUAAUCGGAAUUACUGGGCGUAAAGCGUGCGCAGGCGGUUUUGUAAGUCUGAUGUGAAGUCCCCGGGCUCAACCUGGGAAUUGCAUUGGAGACUGCAAGGCUAGAAUCUGGCAGAGGGGGGUAGAAUUCCACGUGUAGCAGUGAAAUGCGUAGAGAUGUGGAGGAACACCGAUGGCGAAGGCAGCCCCCUGGGUCAAGAUUGACGCUCAUGCACGAAAGCGUGGGGAGCAAACAGG